rnacentral:rRNA from 1 species
UACGGGGGGGGCAAGCGUUGUUCGGAAUUACUGGGCGUAAAGGGCUCGUAGGUGGCCAACUAAGUCGGACGUGAAAUCCCUCGGCUUAACCGGGGAACUGCGUCCGAUACUGGUUGGCUUGAGUUUGGGAGAGGGAUGCGGAAUUCCUGGUGUAGCGGUGAAAUGCGCAGAUAUCAGGAGGAACACCAAUGGCGAAGGCAGCACUCUGGGACGUGACUGACGCUGAGACGCGAAAGCGUGGGGAGCAAACAGG